GUGUUGAGUGUUUGUUUGCGACCAUUCAACGGGAUCACUAAACAGUCACCUUCCAUUAGUGAGUCAUGGACGCCAAACACUGACUUCCAGGAACUCAUAGACGCCAUUAAUAUUAAGUAAAGAUGUGAGUGUUCAUUCAUGUGUCCGGGGAAAUCUGAUUCUCAUUAAAGUAGAAAAGUGAAUGUGAGUGAUCGCGAAAAUGACAAUCAGUUCUAAAUACAUAAGAAAAUGAGGAAUAUGGUGAAAGUUUGAAAUUGAAAGUGACCAAAAUCUUACCCCAAAAAUAAGGUAUAAAAUAUGAAAAUGAGAUAUAUGGCGGAACAGACAGAGAGAAAGUGAGAGGAGGAGAACUGGACCAAUGAAAGUGAGGAACAGAGGAUCAGUUUAGCAGUGAAAGUGACGUAAGGAAGGAAAAUGAGCUUAACUAGAUAAUUAUACAAACAGAGGAUCAGUUUAGCAGUGAAAGUGACGUAAGGAAGGAAAAUGAGCUUAACUAAAUAAUUAUACAAGAAAGUGAGGAACGGGAGGGAAAAUGUGAAAGUGAGGAAUAUGGAAAAGAAGAAGGAAAGGAGGAAGAUGAAGGGGAAACAAUAUAACAUUAAAUAAAAAGGAGAAAUUACAAGGAAAAUAAGAAAAUCAUUAACAUAGAAGAAAAAGAAGAAGAGGGAGAGGACGAUGAAGGGGGAACCAUAUUAACUCUAAAUAAAAGGAAGAAAUUACAAGAAAGAGAAGAUUUUAAUUAACAUAGAAGAAGAAGAAGAGGAAGAAGAAGAAGAGGAGGAAGAAGAAGAUGAAGAUUACCUAUCUCCCACUGGCCUUCCUCUUCCUCCUGGUCUUGACGAGCUUGACAGAAGGAGGGAAGAAGGAGGAGGAGGAGAGGAAGAUAGGAGAGAAAAAAUGGAGCGAAAAUGAAGAAGAAGCAACAGAAGGAAGGAAGGAGGGGAGAGAAGAAGAAGAGGAGGAGGAGGAGAAGGAGGAGGUUGCCUGGAUUUGGGUAAUUCCCCAAAAACAACAAACAACAUCAACAACAAGAACAAAGCAGGUUGAUAGGGUCCAAGGAGCAGUCGCCAACCUCACCCUGAAUAUCAAGACA